rnacentral:rRNA from 1 species
GAUGAACGCUGGCGGCGUGCCUAAUACAUGCAAGUCGAGCGAACAGACGAGGAGCUUGCUCCUCUGACGUUAGCGGCGGACGGGUGAGUAACACGUGGAUAACCUACCUAUAAGACUGGGAUAACUUCGGGAAACCGGAGCUAAUACCGGAUAAUAUAUUGAACCGCAUGGUUCAAUAGUGAAAGACGGUUUUGCUGUCACUUAUAGAUGGAUCCGCGCCGCAUUAGCUAGUUGGUAAGGUAACGGCUUACCAAGGCGACGAUGCGUAGCCGACCUGAGAGGGUGAUCGGCCACACUGGAACUGAGAAACGGUCCAGACUCCUACGGGAGGCAGCAGUAGGGAAUCUUCCGCAAUGGGCGAAAGCCUGACGGAGCAACGCCGCGUGAGUGAUGAAGGUCUUCGGAUCGUAAAACGCUGUUAUUAGGGAAGAACAAAUGUGUAAGUAACUAUGCACGUCUUGACGGGACCUAAUCAGAAAGCCACGGCUAACUACGU